GCUCAUGCUGCCCACCGGUGUGGUUUCAUCUGCCAUCCACCUAUUUUGAGACAUUCCAGCCUGAUCUGCGCAUGCGCGGAACCCGAUGUUUACAAACACAUUGUGUUGAUAUUGUAGUUCGUCCAGGCAAGAUGGCGGCAAGACAGUAUGGCAGUUUUUAUGGGAAAAUGGCCAAACUCAGGGAUGACAUGGACCCCAUAAUUCAGAUAUCAUUAAGUGGAGAGUAUCCGAGAAACAUGACCAUUAAUGAGGAGAGUGUAGGUUAUCUCAUUUAUCACAUUUACUGACAUACAAGGGGUGUAGGUUAUCUCAUUUAUCACAUUUACUGACAUACAAGGGGUGUAGGUUAUCUCAUUUAUCACAUUUACUGACAUACAAGGGGUGUAGGUUAUCUCAUUUAUCACAUUUACUGACAUACAAGGGGUGUAGGUUAUCUCAUUUAUCACAUUUACUGACAUACAAGGGGUGUAGGUUAUCUCAUUUAUCACAUUUACUGACAUACAAGGGGUGUAGGUUAUCUCAUUUAUCACAUUUACUGACAUACAAGGGGUGUAGGUUAUCUCAUUUAUCACAUUUACUGACAUACAAGGGGUGUAGGUUAUCUCAUUUAUCACAUUUACUGACAUACAAGGGGUGUAGGUUAUCUCAUUUAUCACAUUUACUGACAUACAAGGGGUGUAGGUUAUCUCAUUUAUCACAUUUACCGACAUACAAAUGGUGUAGGUUAUCUCCUUUAUCACAUUUAAUGACAUACAAAGGAUGCAGGUUAUCUCAUUUAUCACAUUU